AUGGGGCCUAAGCUCGCGUCCCUUCUCGCCGUCCUGGCCGCCGUCUACCUUGCCGUCGCGGCGACCGCCGUGGACGACGCCCCGCUGCCGAGGCUCCCGCAUCAGGACAUCCCGGCCGUGUUCGCGUUCGGCGACUCCACGCUCGACACGGGCAACAACAACGUCCUCCCCACCAUGGUCCGCGCCGACCACGCGCCCUACGGCCGCGAGUUCCCCGGGGGCGCGCCCACGGGCCGCUUCUCCGACGGGAAGCUCCUCACCGACUACCUCGUGGAGGUGCUCGGCAUCAAGGAGCUCCUCCCGGCGUACCGCUCCGGCGCCGCCAACCUGACGGUCGCGGACUUAUCCACGGGCGUCUGCUUCGCGUCCGCCGGCUCCGGCCUCGACGACGCCACGGCCACCAACGCCGGCGUGGCGACGUUCGGCUCGCAGCUCGCGGACUUCAAGCAGCUCCUUGGCAAGAUAGGCGCCCGGAAGGCCGGCGAGGUGGUGAAGAAGUCGGUGUUCCUCGUGUCCGCCGCGACCAACGACAUGAUGAUGAACUACUACAUGCUGCCGUCGGGGAGGAGCAAGUACACGCUCGAGCAGUACCAUGACCUCCUCAUCGGCAACCUUCGAUCUUACAUACAGGCCAUGUACGACCUGGGCGCCCGGAGGAUGCUGGUGGCGGGGCUGCCGCCGGUGGGGUGCCUCCCGCUGCAGCUGACGAUGGCCGAGCUGCAGCAGCCGCCGAGGCCGCAGGGGUGCAUCGCGGAGCAGAACGCGGCGGCGGAGUGCUACAACGCCAAGCUCCAGCGGAUGCUCGCCGAGUUCCAGGCCGGCUCGCCCGGGGCGAGGGCCGUGUACGCCGACAUCUACAGCCCGCUCAAGGACAUGGUCGACCACCCCGACAAGUACGGUUUCGUGGAGGCGAGCAAGGGCUGCUGCGGCACCGGGCUCCUGGAGAUGGGGCCGCUGUGCACCGAUAUGGUCCCGACGUGCGCGACGCCGUCCAAGUACAUGUUCUGGGACUCCGUCCACCCCACGCAGGCCACCUACAGGGCCGUCGCCGAGCACUUCGAGCAGACCAACAUCAUCCGGUUCGCCAAUUGA
rnacentral:rRNA from 1 species